rnacentral:lncRNA from 1 species
GUUCACUGCUGACUGGCUGGGUAAAAAUAUCGAGACUCUGGGUGGGGGCCGGAAGAUUACAUAAAUGUUCAGUAAUGGGAGCUAACUCUUCUAACUGAGGGACCUGGCUCCCUUUCAGGUCCCAGAGCUGUGCCUCCUGUGAUCCCAAUAAGAAGAAGGAUGCAGAAACUGCUAGGAGUGGGUUUAGUGACUCUGUGGCUUCAGUUGGCCAGUGAGUGGGGUCUGGUGGAGAUGGGAAUAGGGAGACCCGAAUUUAGAGCCCACUUGCCAGAGAGGUGAGUCUGCCUGUGAUUUUGCAAAUGAGAUUUGAAAAUGCUGAUAGUGACUUCUGGUCUCUGGCCUCAUUUCUGCCUAGGAGUGAACAGCCAACAAGGAGAAGCUAGUCCUCAGGUCCUGAGCAUCCAGGAGGGAGAAAAUGCCACCAUGAACUGCAGUUACAAAACUGAUAUAACCAACCUGCUGUGGUAUAGACAGGAUUCAGGUAAAGGUCCUGCUUUGGUGAUUUUAAUACGUUCAAAUGAGAGAGAAAAACAUAGUGGAAGACUAACAGCCACCCUGGACACCUCCACCCAAAGAAGCGUCCUGUCCAUCACGGCUUCCCAGGCUGCAGACGCUGCCACUUACUUCUGUGCUACAGAUGCACAGUGAUCAGCAGGCACCUGCAGCCCUGACGCAAACCCUGCCAGGGCUGCUUCCCAGAAGCCCUCUCCAUGGGUGGACGUGGUGGUUUCACAUCCUUCAUGAAGGAGUCUACAUGCAGUGGGAAGGGAGCCUGUUCUAAUCUGUGAGUUUUGAAGCAUCUUGGAAUAGGGCAAAGGUCAUGAAAUAUGGAAUGGGAACUGCAAUGCCAGGCUCAGUUCUGCCCAUCCUGGCUCCAUGUCCUCAGGCUCAUCCUUAGUGUAGUAGUCUUCUAGCCUCACUCAAGGUGAAUGAAGGAUUUGGAUCACUGAGCCCAAACACUUCAUCACAUACUAAUUUUUAUCAGGAAAACAUGAACCCUGAAUACUAGCAGAGGAUGAGGAAGGAAUUUUCAGUAUUGGAAUGUCUCACCUGUCUUAUUGCAGCCCUAGACCCAGAGGGGUUGAGUUGACUGAAAUGACUUUUGCUUUUCUCUGGUUCCAGGGAGUGGUGAACUCUCAGCAUUAGGGUUAAGAGGGAUCUUAGGAUGUGUCCAAGCAAACCUUCCAUCUCACAGCUGAGGACUGGAGCUGUUGUGUAAGAAAAGAGGGGAAUAUCUGAUCAAAUUGUGCCAUUUAAGAGUUGUAUGAUUUCCAAGCCUCAAUUUCUCCAUGAGGAAAAGGGCAAUCUGUAAGAAGGUCCUAGUUUCGCCAUCUAUCAGAAGGGUGUAUAUUCUCAAUAACCAGGACCUGAAAUGCUGUGUUGUGAAAGGCUUCUAGGAUCAAAUACACUGGUUUUCCAUCUAUUUAUUCUCACUUCUACUAAAAUAAAUAAAUGCUGACUGUAGUUUUCUUGACCCAGUUUUGACACUACUAAAAAUGUGUGUGGAGAAAAUCAGGGAAUUUGUAUUUGCAUGAGUUCCUGGUGUAAAGGAUGCAGAGGGCAGGGGAAACAG